CGACAGGCGUAGUCGAUGGACAACCGGUUGAUAUUCCGGUACCCGCUUUGAAGCGCCAAACAUCGAAUCAGGCGAUGCUAAGUCCGUGAAGCCGCCCUGAGCUCUUCGGAGUGUAGGGGAGUGGUGGAGCCGACGAACCAGACUUGUAGUAGGUGAGUGAUGGGGUGACGCAGGAAGGUAGUCCAGCCCGGGCGGUGGUUGUCCCGGGGUAAG
rnacentral:rRNA from 1 species